CCCGCACAAGCGGUGGAGCAUGUGGUUUAAUUCGAUGCAACGCGAAGAACCUUACCUGGUCUUGACAUCCACAGAACUUUCCAGAGAUGGAUUGGUGCCUUCGGGAACUGUGAGACAGGUGCUGCAUGGCUGUCGUCAGCUCGUGUUGUGAAAUGUUGGGUUAAGUCCCGCAACGAGCGCAACCCUUAUCCUUUGUUGCCAGCGGUCCGGCCGGGAACUCAAAGGAGACUGCCAGUGAUAAACUGGAGGAAGGUGGGGAUGACGUCAAGUCAUCAUGGCCCUUACGACCAGGGCUACACACGUGCUACAAUGGCGCAUACAAAGAGAAGCGACCUCGCGAGAGCAAGCGGACCUCAUAAAGUGCGUCGUAGUCCGGAUUGGAGUCUGCAACUCGACUCCAUGAAGUCGGAAUCGCUAGUAAUCGUGGAUCAGAAUGCCACGGUGAAUACGUUCCCGGGCCUU
rnacentral:rRNA from 1 species